AGAGUUUGAUCCUGGCUCAGGACGAACGCUGGCGGCGUGCUUAACACAUGCAAGUUGAACGGAGCACAUUAAGUAGCAAUACGAGGUGUGCUUAGUAGCGGACGGACGGGUGAGUAACGCGUGAGUAACCUACCUUUGUGAGGGGGACAACAGCUGGAAACGGCUGCUAAUACCGCAUAAGACCACGACCUCGAGUGGGGUUGAGGUAAAAGAUUUAUUGCACAAAGAUGGACUCGCGUCCCAUUAGCUAGUUGGUGAGGUAACGGCCCACCAAGGCGACGAUGGGUAGCCGACCUGAGAGGGUGAUCGGCCACACUGGAACUGAGACACGGUCCAGACUCCUACGGGAGGCAGCAGUGGGGAAUAUUGCGCAAUGGGCGCAAGCCUGACGCAGCAACGCCGCGUGAGUGAUGAAGGCCUUCGGGUCGUAAAACUCUGUCCUAUGGGAAGAAAAAAAUGACGGUACCAGAGGAGGAAGCCACGGCUAACUACGUGCCAGCAGCCGCGGUAAUACGUAGGUGGCGAGCGUUGUCCGGAAUUACUGGGCGUAAAGGGUGCGUAGGUGGCUGAUCAAGCCAGGGGUGAAAGGCAUUGGCUCAAACUAUUGUGAGCCUUUGGAACUGGUCAGCUUGAGUGCAGGAGAGGUAAGUGGAAUUCCUAGUGUAGCGGUGAAAUGCGUAGAUAUUAGGAGGAACACCAGUGGCGAAGGCGACUUACUGGACUGUAACUGACGCUGAGGCGCGAAAGCGUGGGGAGCAAACAGGAUUAGAUACCCUGGUAGUCCACGCUGUAAACGAUGGAUACUAGGUGUGGGAGGUAUCGACCCCUUCCGUGCCGCAGUAAACGCAAUAAGUAUCCCGCCUGGGGAGUACGGCCGCAAGGUUGAAACUCAAAGGAAUUGACGGGGGCCCGCACAAGCAGCGGAGCAUGUGGUUUAAUUCGAAGCAACGCGAAGAACCUUACCUGGGCUUGACAUAUCCCGGGAAUCUCCUGGAAACAGGAGAGUGCCUCGCAAGAGGAGCCUGGUGACAGGUGGUGCAUGGUUGUCGUCAGCUCGUGUCGUGAGAUGUUGGGUUAAGUCCCGCAACGAGCGCAACCCUUAUCUUUAGUUACCAUCAUUCAGUUGGGGACUCUAGAGAGACUGCCGGUGAUAAACCGGAGGAAGGUGGGGAUGACGUCAAAUCAUCAUGCCCCUUAUGUCCUGGGCUACACACGUGCUACAAUGGCCUGAACAGAGGGAAGCGAAACCGCGAGGUGGAGCCAAUCCCAUAAAACAGGUCCCAGUUCGGAUUGUAGGCUGCAACUCGCCUACAUGAAGUCGGAAUCGCUAGUAAUCGCAGGUCAGCAUACUGCGGUGAAUACGUUCCCGGGCCUUGUACACACCGCCCGUCA
rnacentral:rRNA from 1 species